GAUGAAGAACGUAGCGAAAUGCGAUAAGUAAUGUGAAUUGCAGAAUUCAGUGAAUCAUCGAAUCUUUGAACGCACAUUGCGCCCCCUGGUAUUCCGGGGGGCAUGCCUGUCCGAGCGUCAUUACAACCCUCAAGCUCAGCUUGGUGUUGGGCCCCGCCGCCCCGGCGGGCCCUAAAGUCAGUGGCGGUGCCGUCCGGCUCCGAGCGUAGUAAUUCUUCUCGCUCUGGAGGUCCGGUCGUGUGCUCGCCAGCAACCCCCAAUUUUUUUCAGGUUGACCUCGGAUCAGGUAGGGAUACCCGCUGAACUUAAGCAUAUCAAUAAUCGGAGGA
rnacentral:misc_RNA from 1 species